rnacentral:lncRNA from 1 species
CAACUGUCGCUACUUAAUUCAACAUCUUUAACAUGCAAUUCAUGGCCAGUAAAUUGCAAGAAUGAACACCAAAAUCAUCAAAUUGCAAUUAACAAGAAUAGUCAAUACAACCAUGAUCAAAUCAUAUAAAGAAUUCAAUCACUACAUCUUAACCCUAGAAUAUGGAACUUAGCAAAUCAUGACUAAUAAAAUUAUCCAAUUAUUCCGAAUCAACAUUCUACAAUUAAAGAAAUUGAGAGAGAAAAAGAACUCUAGAAGUUGGAGAAAUCCUUAGCCAGUGCUUCUUUCAAUAUCCUUCGUCAAUUCCCUUUUCGUUCUCCCCUUAAUCUAAUCUCCUUCCCUUAAAAAAAAUAAAAAAUAAAAAAAAUGGAUUUCCAUCAUAUAUGUUGGUGAAAAUCAAAACUCCCCGCAGAUUUCUCUUCCCAAAACAAAAUUACCUCUUUCCAGCUCUUAAAUUGCGGGAUUCUUGGCGGAUUUUAUUACCUAGCUUCCAACUAGAUUUUGAUGACACAACCUCACAAAAGUUUUAGAUCUCGUCCUCAACUUUCCAACGCACCUGGGCUUGCUUUAUUUCGACUUUUAGAACUCCAGAUACAGGCCAAAAACAGAAGCUGAGUCAGGCGGUAGUGAAUUCUGGACAGAUUAGGAGUUCUCUGCUUUUGAUAGGAUUUGAUCUUUUAAACGGCGGAACUGGGUUUUGACCUCUUCAUAAAAGUUUUAGGUGGCCUUAACUUUCUAACAAGCCAACAACACCUAAAAUGGAGAUUUGUAGCUCCAAUUAGAAACUAAAAACCAAAUAGUGUUCGGAUUUGACGGGCAGCCCAAUUAAAAU